rnacentral:lncRNA from 1 species
ACGCACUGGUGCUCGACAUACUGUAGAUUGAAUUUUUUUUAGUCCGCCCGAUCCUACCGUGGUGGUUGCCGACUCGUGUUGCUCGUUUGAUGUCAUUUUCCAAAGUGCCUCGUUUGACCACUGUUCAUAUUCAAUUUGUUCUGUAAAAAACGUGUGGACCGGUGAUUCAGGAAAGGGACGUUGGUGUUUACGUGGGGGUGGGUGGCUGUGUCGCACUGAAACAAAGGCGUUGAAUUUUUCGGGACUAAUAAGCUGAUCAAGCCCAAACGCCAAGUUUCAUUAGUUGGAAAAUUCAAGUUAGUUAUAAAAUUUAAUAAUAAUAAUAAUAAUAAAGAAGAAACUGAGAGAAAGAGUGACGAGUUUGGGAAUUCCAAGGUUGUCCGAACUGAGAUCUUUGACUAGCCCAAAAGAUUCCAACAGUAGUUUUGUUCUCCCCCCAAACGUAAUGAUUAUGAGCUGAUGGAGUUGUGUAACACAUGAGCUGAUAAUGAUGAUGAUUAUGAUGAUGGGUUUUAACACAACAGGUGCAACAAGGACAAUAAAUCCAAGAACGUAACAGCACAGAGCACAUAAAAGCAAUCAAAUCCCCUCCCUUUUUUUUACCGACAGGAAUCUAACACCACGACCCCUUAACAAUUUUCCAACUCGAAAGAACUUUUGCAAAAUUCAUCUCGAGGCCGGGCGGCUGGCCAAAGCAAAAGCGAGAACUUUAGUAAACUCCCUGUCCAUUAAUUUCUACAAAAGACGGAAAGAAAGGACUUCACCUUGUGCCGUUCGUUUCCUCCUUUAAUUCCUCCCGCCAAUUGCCCUUCGCCCUUUGGCCCCAAGGAAAAUGCGCAUCUCGUCGCGACUUCACAAACCACAAUUCUCAAUCUCGAUUUCGAUUUCGAUUUCGUCUUCAAAAAGGACCAAAAACCCAGUAAUAAUCAAUGCACCAAUCGCCCUCCCUCUCAUUGAUUACCUCCCCACCUCCCUCCUCUGUCCCCCACCCUCUCCACCUCCCCGCCAUUUAAUGCUUCCCCAUUAAUUCGAC